GGAAAAGGCCGAAGCAAAUUGUCCAUUUCAGGAAGACCGAAGCAAACAAUGCACACACAGAUACAACACAACAUGUCCGAUGAGCAACGAUUCGUCAUUAUAGAAUCUAACAUAGAAGAACUAAUAAUGUUUUUUUUCUAUUAGUAGUUAGUAGUUACCAUCUUUGAUCUUGAAAGCGCCUCGCAGAGCGGCCUCUUAUGGUUCUUCUUGAGCAUCUCCAUGUAAGCUCGCGCAACAACAAUAGAGUGAGUCAAGCUCUCAGUUCAUCAGCAUCACCGUCCGUCAGUCAGUCACAUCGCGGAGCAGCUAACAGCUGAAAAGUAAGCAAGAACUCCAACUCUGCCUACGACCUGCUAUACCUAUACGUACCUUGCUGAGGUGAUGGAGGCCCUGCUAAGCGGCGGGGGAGAUGAGCACGAUUAUGGAGCAGACUGCCGCCACAAUCCAAGUCGGUGUGAACUGCAGCGUCGCAGUCUCGUCCACCUGUUCUAGACCCUGCUUUUCUUCUAAGGUUGGCUGAAAGCAAUCUAUGAACUGGGGAGGAGGGAGCUAUGAGAACGUGUGUGUUGACGACGCCUGCUUUGUGGCCGUAAUUGCUUGUCGAUGAGAAGGAAAACGAAAUCAACACCAAGGGAUUGGGGGAAGAGAAAAAUAAUUAUCCAAAAAAUGUUCGCUCACGCAUAGAUUGGGGCCGUUGGCUCGAUCUGCGACCGAAACCCUAGGUAUUGGCGGGAGGAACCUCUCGUCCUCUUCCUCGCUAGAACCAAGAUUGCCCCCAUUCCGGCUCAACUUCGAAUAGAAGGAAAUCCCUAACACCGAGAAGGCACAUUUCGAAGAGUGUUCAUACCUGCAGCUAGGCGAGAUGACGAGAGAGCAGACGAAGUUCGGGUUGUCAAACGUGCCGAGGAGGAGGUCGCACGGUGUUGGACUGGGGAGCAGCAACCAAUGGAGAUGGAGUCAGGCCGCACGGAUAGAGAGGCAGACGACAAUCGACAUUGACGGGGACCUGCGGGGCAAAUUGGAGAGGCGGACAGUGGUGCAGCGUGCGGUGGGAUGGGUGCCGGCGGCGCGAGCGAGAGAGGCCACCGGUGAGCGUGGCGGGCCGGCGGUAAUGCAGGGAGCGGCAAACUCAGGAGCGACCUGUGUCUUUUUUCGAUCUUUUGUUU